rnacentral:rRNA from 1 species
UACGUAGGGGGCGGGCGUUGUCCGGAUCUACUGGGCGUAAAGGAUGCGUAGGCGGAUAUUUAAGUCAGAUGUGAAAUACCCGGGCUCAACUUGGGUGCUGCAUUUGAAACUGGAUAUCUAGAGUGCGGGAGAGGUAAGUGGAGUUCCUAGUGUAGCGGUGAAAUGCGUAGACAUCAAGAGGAACACCUGAGGCGAAGGCGGGUUGCUAGGCUGACACUGACGCUGAGGCGCGAAAGCCAGGGGAGCAAAC